UAACUUUGAGCGGUGGAUCACUCGGCUCGUGCGUCGAAUGAAGAAGCGCAGCCAGCUGCGUGAAAUAAUGCGAAAUUGCCGAACAACA
rnacentral:rRNA from 1 species